GAGAGGGGCUCGACAGCAACGAAGCUUGCUAACUUUCGCUUCCUUGGUUAGACCCCAAGGCCCACUCG
rnacentral:tRNA from 1 species